GGAGAGGUGUCCGAGUGGUUUAAGGUGCCGCUCUCGAAAAGCGGUAGGCGAAAGCCUCGUGGGUUCGAAUCCCACCCUCUCCGCCA
rnacentral:tRNA from 2 species